AUGGCCGAAUGCUUCAAUAGGGUGCUCAAAGGUGCACGUGGAUUACCCGUGACGGCAAUAGUUCAAUACACAUUUGACAAGAUGAAUGCGUACUUUGUAAAGUACUCGAUGGAAACCGAUGCACAGAUAGCGGGUGAGAACCCACGGAAGUACAAGUACAAGUUCCCACCCAAAGUUGAUGAAUGGUUGGUAUUUCAAUCACGGAAGGCGGACUCAGAAGAAGCUAUAUUAUAUGACAACGAAGAGUGGAAGUAUGAAGUGAAAGAGCCAGGAGGAACCACAAACGAUGGCCGGCAACAUGGAGGUCGGGCUUUCAAGGUGUCGUUAACACAAUGUGAUUGCACUUGCGGGAGGCCAUUGUUGCUUCAUCUCCCAUGCUCACAUUUGUAUGCCGCCGGUCGCGUUAGGAAUGUGGACAUCAAUCACCCACGCACCGUGAGGGAGUCGGAGUUCUCAAUCAUGACGGUCAAGAAAACAUGGGCUCCCCGCUUUCACCUAUACUUUGACCAAUCACAAUGGUCGGAGUAUCAUGGAGUUCAACUAUGGCCGGAUCCG
rnacentral:rRNA from 1 species